rnacentral:rRNA from 1 species
CUGGCGGCGUGCCUAACACAUGCAAGUCGAACGGACUACGAGGAUUCGUCCAAGUAGUUAGUGGCGGACGGGUGAGUAACGCGUGAGCAACCUGUCCUUAAGAGGGGGAUAACAACGUGAAAACGUUGCUAAUACCACAUAAGACCACGGAGUCGCAUGGCUCUGAGGUAAAAGGAGAAAUCCGCUUAAGGGUGGGCUCGCGUCCCAUUAGUUAGUUGGUAGGGUAACGGCCUACCAAGACCGCGAUGGGUAGCCGGACUGAGAGGUUGAACGGCCACAUUGGGACUGAGACACGGCCCAAACUCCUACGGGAGGCAGCAGUGGGGAAUAUUGGGCAAUGGGGGAAACCCUGACCCAGCAACGCCGCGUGAGGGAAGAAGGCUUUCGGGUUGUAAACCUCUGUCCCAUGGGAAGAAAAAAAUGACGGUACCAUGGGAGGAAGCCCCGGCUAACUACGUGCCAGCAGCCGCGGUAAGACGUAGGGGGCAAGCGUUGUCCGGAAUUACUGGGCGUAAAGGGUGCGUAGGCGGCAAUACAAGUCUAAUGUGAAAUCCCCGUGCUUAACAUGGGGUUUGCAAUAGAAACUGUAUAGCUAGAGUGCAGGAGAGGUAAGUGGAAUUCCUAGUGUAGCGGUGAAAUGCAUAGAUAUUAGGAGGAACACCAGUGGCGAAGGCGACUUACUGGACUGUAACUGACGCUGAAGCACGAAAGCGUGGGGAGCGAACAGGAUUAGAUACCCUGGUAGUCCACGCCGUAAACGAUGGAUACUAGGUGUAGGGCCGUCAAGGUU